rnacentral:rRNA from 1 species
UACAGAGGAGCCAAGCGUUGUCCGGAUUGACUGGGCGUAAAGCGCACGCAGGCGGAUGUGCGCGUGGGGUGUGAAAUCUGGCCGCUUAACGGCCAGGCGCCAUCCCAUACGGCGCGUCUGGAGUGAUGCAGAGGUCGAUGGAAUUGCCGGUGUAGUGGUGAAAUGCGUAGAGAUCGGCAGGAACACCCAGGGGGAAACCAGUCGACUGGGCAUCUACUGACGCUGAGGUGCGAGAGCGUGGGGAGCGAACCGG